CCUACGGGAGGCAGCAGUGGGGAAUAUUGGACAAUGGGCGAAAGCCUGAUCCAGCAAUGCCGCGUGAGUGAUGAAGGCCUUAGGGUUGUAAAGCUCUUUUACCAGGGAUGAUAAUGACAGUACCUGGAGAAUAAGCUCCGGCUAACUCCGUGCCAGCAGCCGCGGUAAUACGGAGGGAGCUAGCGUUGUUCGGAAUUACUGGGCGUAAAGCGUACGUAGGCGGUUAUUCAAGUCAGAGGUGAAAGCCUGGAGCUCAACUCCAGAACUGCCUUUGAAACUAGAUAGCUAGAAUCUUGGAGAGGUGAGUGGAAUUCCGAGUGUAGAGGUGAAAUUCGUAGAUAUUCGGAAGAACACCAGUGGCGAAGGCGACUCACUGGACAAGUAUUGACGCUGAGGUACGAAAGCGUGGGGAGCAAACAGGAUUAGAUACCCUGGUAGUCCACGCCGUAAACGAUGAUAACUAGCUGUUCGGGCUCUACGAGCUUGAGUGGCGCAGCUAACGCAUUAAGUUAUCCGCCUGGGGAGUACGGUCGCAAGNUUAAAACUCAAAUUGAAUUGAGG
rnacentral:rRNA from 1 species